CUUGACAAACAAGGCGGAUGUCCAUUACCCUAAGUUUCCUAAUAUAGCUUUGUUCCCUAAAAAGCUAAAAUAAGAGUACCCGGCUUCGUCCGUGUUUUUUUUCUUUUUAUCUUUUUCGAUUCUUUCUUUUCUCUUAUGUAAUUCUUCGAAUUUAAUUGUACUGAUUGGAGUUUGUUGAUCUUUUUCAGGUAUUUUUUACAGGGGUGAAUAUUCAAUCAGAAGACGUGCCUCUUUUUAGGGUUUACGGUUGCCGUCAUCGGAUUGAUUCAGCGAAUCGAUUCGAUGUCGUUGAAGAAAUCGUUGGAACCAUACCUCGUAAUCCUCCGUGUUUCAGCAAUCCGAGAUUCUAUCUCAAAUCCUAACAGAAAUAUCACGUCCUAAAGGGGAUUUUAACUAAGAUAUGCACAGUGUUCCGCACCCCUGGCUAAUAGCAUGUAACUACUAAGUAUGCAAUGAAUGCAGUUUCAAAGUGUGCUACCCUGGCUAAUGUUGCUAAUCCUUUGUUCAUGGACAUUAGAGUUGGCAUUAGUUGCCAGGGUAAGUUGAAUCAGUGAUUGGGACCCGAAUUUGAGGGUCAGAAUCAAGAUAUGAUGUGAUUCUGGAAACUCGAGUGUGGGAUAUGACUGCCGAUGUAUUAGAAUUUCCAGUAUUACAUCGCUUCUUGGUUGUUCAUAUUGGCUGAAUAACAAGUCCUUGAGCCUCCUGAUGAAAUAUUAAUAAGUCCUUGAUCCUCCCGAUGAAAUGUCUAUGUACAGGUUUUCCAAUUCAGAUCUAAAUAUGGUAUGUUCUCAUUGGAAUGUGAAUUUUGGUUUUCAGAGAAUCAUUUUAGAUUGCUGAAUUUGUUUAAUAUGAUUAACUCGCUCGCUUGGUGUUUCUUAUUGUCGGAGCUCUAUGAAUUCGCGCUAAAAACAUCAGUUCCAAGCCAAAGCCUAAUGACGAUACCUUUAUCUCUUUGUGUUUUAAUGCCGACUUAUUUUUAUGUUGUAUAUAUGUAUAAAGAAAAGAAAUAGUAUCUGCUGGUUUUUGAAAUAAUGUGAACAGUUGUGGGCAAAGUUACCUCGACGGAGAUGACUUAAAAUGCAGGUUAGGUUCUACAAUAUUUAACAGAAUUCUAACGCUCUUAAUAAUAUACUGUCGUUUCUUGAGUUUUACUUCAGUUGAUGUAUUAUUUUAGAAUGUAAUUAAAUGUCUUUUAAGCCUUUCUUGGUUCAAAGCACAUAUGUGUUAUUCAGGCCAUAUGUGCAAGCUAUGGAUACAGGCUCAAAUCAAAGAAGCUUAUGACAAGGUUUUGAACUUGGUAAAGGAUGUUCAAAAGCAUGAAUUAGCUGAAGUGUGAACUGCAGCGUGCAUUUGCAUAAAAAGUGUUAUUCGGUCAGUUAAGGUUCGGAUAAGCAGUUUAUAUCUUAAAGUUUGAUUUGGUCUUUGGUGAUGUUUUUUAAAGGUUAUUAUUCAGAAUCUGAGUGCAGGUCAUUAUUUCAACGAAAUGACUGUGAUUCCCUUGGUUCAACUUUUAAAUGAUCCAUGUACUUCUGUGGGUUGCAAGAUUCUUUGAUAGGAAACUGCAACCUAAUUCAUUUACGAGAGAAAAUGGUGUUGUAUAACUUGUCAGGUCCUCCAUACGGUAGUAGUUGGUGAGGAAUGUGACAUUUCGUGCAAGGGUUAUAAAGAUAAUUAUCCCGACCUGGUGACACCUUUUAGUCUCGCAACCGGGUUUUGUUCCUUAAUUUGGAAAUAAUGCAAUUUUGUCAUGACCCUACCAGAAAACCUAUUUUGCACGCCUUCGACUCAGAGCUUCACAGUAUUUCUCGCCACCCAGCAAUAGACAUGGUCCUGAUGUCAGAGGUACAACAACAAUUUCAUAGAUGAUCCCGUAUAUUGAUUUUAUUACAAAGGUUAUCACUACCCCUAACUCUUUAAUAUAUAACUUAGUCGGUAUUAGUUUCCCAUCGGGACCGUUAUUUUAACAUGAUAACGGAAGAUACGUGGUAUUUUCAGCCUUGGAAAAGAUUUUAAAUGUCUAAAUGGAUUAUUUCAGCCUUGGAAAAGAUUUUAAAUGUCUAAAUGGAUUAUGUGCUUGAGUUGUGCUUGCGUUGUGUGACUCUAUUUUGAAUCAAGGUAUGUGCCGUAUGGUCUGAUGAAUGGCGAGCUUGAUGAAAAGAAUAUACAGUAUCACUUCCCCAGCUGACAUCGACAAUCAUCAGUAGAGAGCACUGGUUUUGUCUUAAAUAUUUCCGUUUGUCUUAGAUUUUGCCGCAUACUGUUUUUCGUAUUAUCAUAUCUUUUAUGUUUUUAUCUUUUUCAGUUUCUACCUAUGCAGGAACUUCUUCGCUCCCUGUCAAAGGUAAGAGCUUCGAAUGCUCUCAUAUUGUGAAUUGGUUGUCUUAUUUUUAUGGUACAACACCAUCUUAAAUCGUUCCCCCCAAUUUUCCCCAAAAUAUUCAUGAACUUAUUCGCUUCCUGUCCUUUAAAAAUUUGGAUGCUCUCAUAUUGCGCAAUUGGAUUUCUAAGGUACAACCCCAAUCUUAGAUCAGAAUUAUCACACGGUCUUUGGAUAUGGUUAUAUAGUUACCUAUAUAUAGUCUACCACAUCAAUCUUAAUAUGCUAUCUAAUUUUCCUUUUUAAUUCAUUUCAUUUGUUAAAAAUAUAGGCCUGAGGUCUAAACCUUGGUGUCAAUGUGUUGUUUAACUCUUGCAGAAGCGUAUAAGGUACAACCCCUCUCUUGGAUCAGAAAUUACUUUUUACAUUUGUGUGGGUGGUCGGUUCAAAUUGUCUAAUGGAAAAUAUUUGACUAAAAAUUAAUUUUGAAGUGAUUUAAAAAAAAAACAACAACUAAUUUUGGAGAGUUAUCAUGAUUAUCGAUGUUGUGAAUAUGGAUAAUGUUUCAGUUGAUUUAGAAUCUGAAACUGCAUAGUUGAAGGUGGUGCAACAUCUAGGAAAAGGAAAUAAAUUCUAUGAGCAAUAAGUUCUUAAUGAGUUGCACUUUUUGGCAUGUUGAUUCGAUGUUGUUCAUCUUCUACGGUUUGAUGUAGGGUAACAUGCAAGUGAGCAUCAAGGAUAAGGAAAUGUUUCUCGGAAACGGAACAUUUUGAUUGGAUUGCCUGAAGUACGUGGUGAUUGUGUGACCCUGUGUAUUCCAGACAGGUUGACUGGUGUUGCAACUCUACUGUGUAUUUGAAGAUCGAUAUUGAGGCUUGGGCCAAUAUGGAUAAUGAGACCCGCAUGGAUAUCUGCACCUUUGGUUCUUCCAAGAAAUUUUGGGGUUAUACCAAACGCUUUAGACUCAAAUUGCUUAAGUCGGUCUUUCCCUAUAGUCUAUUAAUUUCUUUGUAUGGAAUGUAACUCCUGUUUUCCAUGGGUUAUCCCUUUAAUUUUUUUUUUUUAACCAAGGAAAGAACUUAUAUUAAACAUAAGUAAUUGAUACAUCACAAUUUAUGUAAGGAAUUAACAAAGGAGGUGGAUGAAACCACCAAUCCCCACAUA